GUGGCGACGCUACCUGCAGUCGACGGUAGCACAGAGAGCUUGCUCUCGGGUGACGAGUGGCGGACGGGUGAGUAAUGUCUGGGAAACUGCCUGAUGGAGGGGGAUAACUACUGGAAACGGUAGCUAAUACCGCAUAACGUCGCAAGACCAAAGAGGGGGACCUUCGGGCCUCUUGCCAUCAGAUGUGCCCAGAUGGGAUUAGCUAGUAGGUGGGGUAACGGCUCACCUAGGCGACGAUCCCUAGCUGGUCUGAGAGGAUGACCAGCCACACUGGAACUGAGACACGGUCCAGACUCCUACGGGAGGCAGCAGUGGGGAAUAUUGCACAAUGGGCGCAAGCCUGAUGCAGCCAUGCCGCGUGUAUGAAGAAGGCCUUCGGGUUGUAAAGUACUUUCAGCGGGGAGGAAGGUGUUGUGGUUAAUAACCGCAGCAAUUGACGUUACCCGCAGAAGAAGCACCGGCUAACUCCGUGCCAGCAGCCGCGGUAAUACGGAGGGUGCAAGCGUUAAUCGGAAUUACUGGGCGUAAAGCGCACGCAGGCGGUCUGUCAAGUCGGAUGUGAAAUCCCCGGGCUCAACCUGGGAACUGCAUUCGAAACUG
rnacentral:rRNA from 1 species